rfam:Aedes albopictus isolate Foshan contig137116, whole genome shotgun sequence.
CAUCAGUUAGCCUUGUGCAUAAGGCUUCGGAUCGCCAAUCCGGAGACGGCGGGUUCGAUUCCCGUUCGGGUCG